AGAACGAACGCUGGCGGCAUGCCUAACACAUGCAAGUCGAACGAGACCUUCGGGUCUAGUGGCGCACGGGUGCGUAACGCGUGGGAAUCUGCCCAAAGGUUCGGAAUAACUCAGGGAAACUUGAGCUAAUACCGGAUGAUGUCGCAAGACCAAAGAUUUAUCGCCUUUGGAUGAGCCCGCGUAGGAUUAGCUUGUUGGUGAGGUAAAGGCUCACCAAGGCUACGAUCCUUAGCUGGUCUGAGAGGAUGAUCAGCCACACUGGGACUGAGAUACGGCCCAGACUCCUACGGGAGGCAGCAGUGGGGAAUAUUGGACAAUGGGCGAAAGCCUGAUCCAGCAAUGCCGCGUGAGUGAUGAAGGCCCUAGGGUUGUAAAGCUCUUUACCCGGAGAUAAUGACUGUACCGGGAGAAUAAGCCCGGCUACUCCGUGCCAGCAGCGC
rnacentral:rRNA from 1 species